rnacentral:lncRNA from 1 species
UCUUUAGGAAGUAAUUUUUCAAUUUUAUAAAAUGACUAAAUCUUCCUUUUGUGGCAGUUGCGGUGGUAACAUGCUGAUGAAUGUAGGGCCAACAAAAGAAGGGAAAAUCAUGCCAAUAUUUGAAGAAAGACUACGUCAGUUUGGCCAAUGGUUGAAGGUCAAUGGAGAGGGAGUUUAUAGCACGGUCCAUGGAGUCACCAGAAAGAUACAGUAACCAAAAAUAUAUGGUAUAAGUAUUAUUAAAUUGUACUACAUAACAGAGAACAAGAAAUACAAAAGACAAAUUAACGACUUGAAUAUUCAUUCGAAUACAUUGAUAAAUUUUAGCAAGACAAAAAGAAGUAACAGAACCGUAAAAGGGGAAAGGUAGAGGAUCGAUAUAUAUAACGGGAGCAGUUGUCAUUCCGAAUUCCUGAAAGAAAAAUAAAGAAUAGCUGAAUCCAGAAUUCCCGGGAAAAAAUCAUUCUUUUCGGAUCCUCAAGAAAAAAAACAUCAUUUAUUUCCGAGACCCGAUAAGUGUAAACCGCGAAUUCCCUAAAAAUCAAAAGCCCAAUCCCGACGUCGCAAUCAAAAUUCCUCCACGCCUGUUGUGGUAUAGAUGUCUUCUAUUAAAAAUGUCUAUUUUUUAAAUUUCAAGAUAAAGUUGAAUAUAUUUUUUACUGGUUUAUUCCUUUCCUGCUGGCAACCAAAUGAUUGUUGAAUUAAAAUUUUGAAUAAUGGCAAAAAAAAAACAAUUGCAUGAGCAUCGUAAAAUACUAAGACAUAAAUGAGUAAAUCUUUUGGCUCUCUGCAUGAAUGAUACACUUGAUUUAUGAUUGAAUGAAUCUCUUAGAUAUGUUGUUUUUACAGGUAUACUAAACGGGAAAUGGAGAGUGAGGGAACUGUAGUUUAUGUAUUUCUUCUUUCUUGGCCUACAGACGAAGUUUUGAAAUUAGGAGCACCGAUCCCUUCACAACAGACAGAGGUCAGCAUGCUCGGUUACCCAGACAAAUUUAUCUGGAAAGCUGGCACAGGAGGCCAAGGAAUUAAUGUCACUAUACCAAUUAUACCGUGGAACAAACUACCAUGCGAAUGGGCAUGGCUUCUUAAGCUAAGUCACAUAACAAAUUAGACUAUAAGGUGUGAUUGAUGCUUGGUUAGGAUAUGUGUAAUCAUGUAAAGAAUACGUGUGCCAUAAACAACAAUUGUCAUAAGAGCAUAAUACAAGUCUUUAAAUCAUGACUUUGUUUACCAUAGUGCUUUCAUGAAACUCUUUUGUCACAUCAAGAUUACGAAACUUUUUCGAUUGAAAAGUCGAAUGGAUAACAUAUUUUCUUUUUAAACCAUGAUGUUUAAUAUAUUUUUAUAAUGUUUCAUUGUUGCACUUAUUUUGUGUUUUUGCCCUGCCAAUAUUUAUUCCAUUCAUUUAUUUCCGUGCACCAUGUAUACUUGAAACGAUUUGUCUGUGAUGAAUUGACGCAUUUGAAUCUCAGUUUAUAUACUUUCCUUGUGAAAUUAAUCAUUGUUAGUGCAUAAAUAUUUGUCUGUACAUUAUUGUAUAUUGUCUAAAUGUAUUAGUUACUAAAUAAAAUAAAAGAGGGUGUCUCCAUAUCUCGACAAUACUGUUUUUAAGGUUGUUUUGAUUAUUAACAUUUCUAAUAUUGACAUUAAUAUUUCUUUUAUUUCUAGCAAUGUGCAAUUUACUAUCCAUAUCUGUAUAAUGAAUAAUUAUCAAUUUGCAGUUUUCUAUCCAUAUCCGUAUACUGAAUAGAAUUUGUCCGGCGGCGUUAUCCAUGGUUAAUUAUAAGAACUCGGUUUGACUUAGCAGAUUAAAAUUUUGUUUAUAAUUAUUGUUCAAAUCUGUUUCGUAUUUCCUGUCUAUUUGUAUAACAUUAUUAACAUUUCUAAUAUUGGCAUUACUAUUUCUUUUAUUUCUAGCAAUUUGGAGUUUACUAUCCAUAUCUGUUUAAUGAAUAAUUAUCAAUGUGCAGUUUACUAUCCAUAUCCGUAUACUGAAUAGUUUUUGU